ensembl:lncRNA MEG3 maternally expressed 3
GCUGUCUUCCUUCCUCACCUCCAAUUUCCUCUUCAACCCACUGCUUCCUGACUCGCUCUACUCCGUGGAAGCACGCUCACAAAGUUCCUGACCUGGCCAUCCCGGGGUGCCCUUGACCAGCCCCGUGUCUCCUCAGGGUGUCCCAGCACCAGCCUGGCACAGAGUGGGGCUCAGUUAGAGUAUGUGGGAUGUUGGUUUCGCCAGGCACGUGGGCCGUGGCCCGGCUGGGUCGGCUGAAGAACUGCGGAUGGAAGCUGCGGAAGAGGCCCUGAUGGGGCCCACCAUCCCGGACCCAAGUCUUCUUCCUGGCGGGCCUCUCGUCUCCUUCCUGGUUUGGGCGGAAGCCAUCACCUGGAUGCCUACGUGGGAAGGGACCUCGAAUGUGGGACCCCAGCCCCUCUCCAGCUCGAAAUCAGUUUGCCCUGCCCCCCAUUCCAACGUGGGCUGCUGCUUCUCCCCAGCGGGUUGUAGCUGGCAGGGCCGUUGUGCUUUGGGGUUUGCUGUACCUGUCGCUGCCGUGAGGGGACGAUCUGUCUGCCCGGAGGGGUUUCUGCAAACAUUCAUCCUCCACAGCCACGGGGACACCCUGCACCUAUUCCCACGGGACAGGCUGGACCCAGAGACUCUGGACCCGGGGCCUCCCC